rnacentral:rRNA from 1 species
CCGCCGGCGACCGGCGCACGGGUGAGUAACGCGUAUGCAACCUGCCCGUUUCAGCGGGAUAACCCGGAGAAAUCCGGCCUAAUACCGCAUGUGGCCGAGGGGAGGCAUCUUCUUUCGGCCAAAGGAGGCGACUCCGGAGACGGAUGGGCAUGCGUGACAUUAGCUAGUUGGCGGGGUAACGGCCCACCAAGGCGACGAUGUCUAGGGGUUCUGAGAGGAAGGUCCCCCACACUGGUACCGAGACACGGACCAGACUCCUACGGAAGGCAGCAG